AUGCGCCAGCGGCACGGGUGGUCAGGCCUGAGCAGCGAGCUCUUCUGCCCCCUCCUCAUUGGAUCGGCGGCCAGGGAGGCCAGAUCGUGUGGCACGAGAGAAGGCUCAUGUGUGAGGAAGGGGAGCAGCAACAUGCGUCGAUUGGGGAAGGGAGGAGCAACGGGUGCCACUGAAGGGAGGGGAGCAGCGGCAAGCGCGGAGGGAGGGGAGCACGGGAGCCCCAAGGGAGGCGGAGCAGCGGCAGGUGGCGUGGAGGUUGGAGAUCUUGGUGAGGACGGCGCGACGCGAGGUCAUGGUGGCAUGUGUCGGAGCAGUGGUAGGUGGCAUGUGCAGUUGAAGCUUAUUUUCUUGCAUGAGUGGUGA
rnacentral:rRNA from 1 species